GACGAACGCUGGCGGCGUGCCUAAUACAUGCAAGUCGAGCGGACCAAAGGGAGCUUGCUCCUGGAGGUUAGCGGCGAACGGGUGAGUAACACGUGGGCAACCUGCCUGUAAGACUGGGAUAACAUCGAGAAAUCGGUGCUAAUACCGGAUAAUAAAAAGAACUGCAUGGUUCUUUUUUGAAAGAUGGUUUCGGCUAUCACUUACAGAUGGGCCCGCGGCGCAUUAGCUAGUUGGUGAGGUAACGGCUCACCAAGGCAACGAUGCGUAGCCGACCUGAGAGGUGAUCGGCCACACUGGGACUGAGACACGGCCCAGACUCCUACGGGAGGCAGCAGUAGGGAAUCUUCCGCAAUGGACGAAAGUCUGACGGAGCAACGCCGCGUGAGUGAUGAAGGUUUUCGGAUCGUAAAAACUCUGUUGUUAGGGAAGAACAAGUGCCGUUCGAAAGGGCGGCACCUUGACGGUACCUAACGAGAAAGCCACGGCUAACUACGUGCCAGCAGCCGCGGUAAAG
rnacentral:rRNA from 1 species